rnacentral:sRNA from 1 species
GCUGGGCAUGGUGGCUCAUGCCUGUAAUUCUAGCAGCUCAGGAGGCUGAGGCAAGAGGAUGGCAAGUUUGAGGUCAAUCUCAACAAUUUAGCAAGGCCCUAAGCAACUUAGUGUGACCUUGCCUUGG